UUACCAGAUUUUCAAAGUGAUAAAAGCGCCAUGGUCAAGAAUCUUGUCUCAUCUCGAUUUCCAAAUCCUUCAGAAGGCAGGU